UACACAUCUAAAUAGACAGCAGUCCUGCGGCUAACAGGCGGUAGCAGCGCUCAGGGAUUUACAACACUACACCUUUAGGGAACGGAAAACAAGAUCACUUCCACAAAGUUUAUUUUAAGAAUACUUGUUUCAUAGUUUUAGAACGCCACGGACGAACAGGGAGAUCAGCUUUGGUUACGUAAAACGCAUCGUCAGCUGUAGGUGAUAAACAUGGAGUUUCCAGGACUGGGAGAGCACUGCUCUGAGAAGACCUGCAAACGUUUAGAUUUUCUUCCAAUGAGAUGUGACGCCUGUCAAGACAUUUUCUGCAAGGAUCAUAUAACCUAUGUUACUCACAAGUGCACAUCUGCCUACAAAAAGGAUGUCCAGGUCCCAGUAUGCCCAUUAUGUAACAUCCCGAUUCCCAUCAAGAGAGGGGAGAUGCCCGACAUUAAAGUCGGUGAACACAUUGACCGGGACUGCAAAUCGGACCCUGCGCAAAGAAAGAGAAAGAUUUUCACAAAUAAAUGUUCUAAAGGAGGGUGUAAACAGAAGGAAAUGAUGCGAGUGACCUGCGACCAGUGUCAUCUAAAUUACUGUCUAAAGCAUCGGCACCCACUAGACCACGAUUGUAAGACUGAUGGAAAACCUGAUGGAAAACCUAUUUCCAAAUCUGGACAUGCUGCAGCGAUGAGGGCUCAGACUGCUUCCUCCACUUCUGCCUCUGGGUCCAGCUUCUCUGCUUCAGGAAACUCCAGACCUGUUUCUAACGGCGUGACUGAUCAUAGACCUCAGAGAACCGCCUCUACCCAGCGGAUUCCUACUUCUGUUUCAGCACAGAAUGUAAUACCACCAUCAGCAUCUUUUCAGGCCGGCCUGACGGAGGAGCAGGCUUUGCAAAGAGCUCUGGAGAUGUCUUUGGCUGAUUCGAGGCCGGCGGUUCAGCCAGCCCUUACCCCUCAGGAGCAGGAGGAUCUGGCUCUCGCUCAGGCUCUCGCUGCCAGCGAAGAAGAGUACAGACGCCAGCAGCAGAGACAACAGGCGUCCAAACAGUCCACCUGCAGCCUUUCCUAAUCUCGGAGGACCAUUUAUGCUUCAAGCUAUGUACUAGAAACUGCACAUCCGAGAUGUCGAUACCCAGGAUCAGUGAUUGUUCCAUGAAGAAAUGCUCAGCUGCAAGUUGCUGAGAUCUUAUCGCCUUUCUACCUCCUCGGUGCUCUUCGUCACCGUGGGAUUGUUCGACGUGCAGCCUGAAGCCCAGAGGUGACAUCUGACAAAGACUGUUCAGUCGAGCGGAAGAUUUCUAUCCAUCCACAAAAACCGCUUGGUAAAAGGUAUAAAAGACUAGAAAGACUUUGUCAAAUGCUACGCGGUCAGGGCGCAGGAGAUGGGCUUUGAUGAUUGCGGAUUGAUAAAUGGACAAAUGGACUACAUCAUGAAAUAGUAUUGUAAUCUUGUCAACCGCUCAAAGCACUUCUACACCAAAAGCCACAUUUACCCAUUCUCCAUCUAUACAGCUCUGUUUCUCCAUCACAGACGCUCUCACAAACCAAAGAAUACAUAUGCUGUAAUGAGGGGUUCCAUAUCUUGGGG